rnacentral:rRNA from 1 species
UUUUUGAUUAUAAUUUAAAGUAGGGCCUGCCCMCUGAAUUUUUAAAGGGCCGCAGUAUCUUAACUGUGCAAAGGUAGCAUAAUCAUUAGUUUUUUAAUUGAAAGCUGGUAUGAACGGUUUGAUGAGAAAAUAGCUGUUUCAAUAUUAAUUUUUUAAAAUUUUAUUUUUAAGUUAAAAAGCUUAAAUUUUUCUAAAAGACGAGAAGACCCUAUAGAGUUUAAUUAAUAAUUUUAUUUUAAAUUUUAGAAUUGAUUUUUUAUAAUAAUUUUAUUAAUUUGGUUGGGGUGAUUAAAAAAUUAAAUAAACUUUUUUUAUAUAAUUACAUUUAUUUAUGAGUAUUUGAUCCAUAAGAAUGAUUACAAGAUUAAAUUACCUUAGGGAUAACAGCGUAAUUUUUUUUAAAAGUUCAUAUUUAAAAAAAAGUUUGCGACCUCGAUGUUGGAUUAAAAUUAAUUUUUGGUGUAGAAGCUAAAAAAUUGGGUCUGUUCGACCUUUGAAAUUUUACA